AUAAGAAACGUUCUUAACGCGUCAUUCCUUGCCAUCUGUCUUUCUCUCUGUUUCUCUUCUCUUCCUCUCUCGGUAUCUAUUUCUUCAUCUUGUUUCUCUCCCGAUGAUGAAGAAACUCGUUUUCUCCCGAUGAUUUGAUUAGUGAUAUUUGUUUCUCUAGUAGGCAGUGACUGUUCUGGCAGAAUUUUCAGGGACGAGUUUGAUCUGCAUAUCAAAUUUUCUGAACCAAUACUCUUUCUUGGAUUGGAAUCCAGAUCCGUAGGCUCUAUCGAGAGAAAGAGUGAGAAGCUCUCCAUUGUUGAGGAUCUUCCCACGAUCACCACCCCAAGUGAUAUCAAAUUCUCUGUCGAACGUUCCGGCAUAAACCGGAGAGAAGAAGGUUGAUGUUAAAGCGAGUUUUGGUGGCUUCUGUGCACUUACAUAUCUGAGCUUUGCGCCUCAAGAACUAAAACAGGUGCUGAUAACCGGAGGAAUCCCACCAAUUGUCAAAGCAUGCACAGCAGAUGAUGUGUAUGAUGCUGGUUUUGAACAAGUUAUUCGUCAGAAUGACAAGUACUACAAGAGGUUCCCUGAAGACAUUGAGAUUGUUCGUGAGCUUGUGAAUUACUUGGCUGAAUCUGAAGGCGGAGGAAUACAUCUUCCAUGAGGAGGUCUCCUCACUCCCCAUGGUCUUCAAACUCUUGGUCUUUCUGGUUUAGGAUCAAGUACUGGUUUUAAGCGCCUGCAUUACAUGUUGGAGAGAGUAUGGGAUCCUAUUUUAGUUCCUGGAUCACCAAAGUGUAUCAGUCACUUCUUCUUAAACGCUGUAAACCAUGUAUUAGCUUUUAUCUUAUUUGCUUUUUGUUCCUUCACAUUUGGUUCAGUAUCUUGAGAAGAGGUGGUCAUUGUGUUUUAUUUUUGUUGCAGACAAGGUGAGUUACUUUGAUUAUAUUGUUACUGAUUGUUCUGU